GCUUUGGAAGCAUGGUUGUGGGCAGAGCUGGGAUAAUUUUGUGUGUGCGUGAUUCUUAGUUAUGCUGACAGCUUUCAGGUUUUGAAAUCCUGUCUCUUCCCUGUUGGUUUAACCUGUGUUAUCCACAUUUUUUUAUCUCAUUUAUUUCAUUAAUUUCAUUCACUCAGCCCAAAGAUGAUUAUUUGGCCUCUACUGUGCACUAGGUGAUGUGUUCUUUACUGGGCUUUCUUGUUGGCAGUGCUAAGUUGGCUCUGCCCACCAGUGAGAAAAACCCCAGACACCUUGACUUGACUUAUAAAGGGGCUCUAUAGAGAGACUACUUUAUUAAUAGCUUGAGGAUUGUGAUGUCCAGUUAUUCCUGAAAAGACUGUGAUUGUUAAGAAGAAAUCAAUUGAGAGAGGGACUUUUUAAACUUUUUUGUUAAGAACUAAGGCACAAACACACACAUUAGCCUGGGGCUACACAGGGUCAGGAUCAUCAGUAUCACUGUAUUCUACCACCACAUCUUGUCCCACUGUAAGAUCUUCAGGGGCAGUAACACUCAUGGAGCUGUCAUCUCUUGUGAUAACAAUGCCUUGCUUCCGGAAUACCUCCCUAAGGACCUGCCUGAGGCUGUUUACAGUUAGCUUCUUUUAAUAAGUAGAAGGAGUACACUCUAAAAUAACAAUAAAAAGAAAAGUUUGUAGUUAUUUUUAGCAGCAAACAGUUAUGUUUUUUAAAGGCAG
rnacentral:lncRNA from 1 species